AUUCCAGCUCCAAUAGCGUAUAUUAAAGUUGUUGCAGUUAAAAAGCUCGUAGUUGGAUUUGUGGCGUACGGUGGGUUCCGGGCACUUGUUGUCUGAGUAACUUGCUGUUGCCAUCCUUGGGUGGAACCUGUGUGGCAUUAGGUUGUCGUGCAGGGGAUGCCCAUCAUUUACUGUGAAAAAAUUAGAGUGUUCAAAGCAGGCUUAUGCCGUUGAAUAUAUUAGCAUGGAAUAAUAAGAUAGGACUUUUUUGCUAUUUUGUUGGUUUGCGCAAAGAGGUAAUGAUUAAUAGGGACAGUUGGGGGUAUUCGUAUUCCAUUGUCAGAGGUGAAAUUCUUGGAUUUUUGGAAGACGAACUACUGCGAAAGCAUUUACCAAGGAUGUUUUCAUUA
rnacentral:rRNA from 1 species